UUGUUUAACAAAGGUAAAAUGACUAAAUUAGAGUACUAUUGUGAAAACAGUGUUUGAAUGUUAUUUAUUUUAUCCGUCUUUCUGUGAACUUUGAUAUUUACUGAACUAGCUUCCAGUAAUGCACUAAACAUCAAAGCCACACGCAGUACUGUUAAUGACAGGAUUCCCACAAGCACCACUGCUGCUGGAGGGAGGACAUUAGGUUUUAGUAGAUGGGGUGGUCUAGCGUGGUACUCUUAGUCAGUGUUCUAACCCUGUGGCUUUCUAUUGCAAAAGGAGAAGGUGUAAAGCUAGCCGUGCGGGAGCCGGGCAGGAUGAAAAGCAGGCCUGAUCACCUCUUCACUACAGGAAUUGGUUAAAAUCUUCUCCCAUUGUGUAGGCUGCCAUGUGGUCCAGUUGACAGUGUCCUUUGCCUUAUUGAAGCAUUUCAGUUUCUGUAAGCUGGAACAUGGUCUCCUCAUAGUAGUAUGUACCAUUAAGCAGUGUUUAAAGCAUCUCACUGCUUUCCUAAACUAAACUCCCAAAGUUCAAAUUCCUCUAAACAAAAGCACGAUCAGGCCUGUCACAGAAAUGCCCCAGUGUCUAGCUUCAGCUUCUGCCUUAGUGUUUCUAUUACUGUGAAGAGAUACCAGGAGCACAAAAACCCUUAUAAAAGAAACAUUUAAUUGGUGUGCGUUAUAGUUUCAGUGGCUUAAUCCAUUAUCAACAUAAUGAUAGGACAUGGUAGGGGGCAGGCAACAUGGGUGCUGAAAAUGGAUUUGAAAAUUAGUACAUCUUGAGCAGCAGGUAACAAAAAAUUAUGAAUGUGGCUAGAGCAUGGGAGGCCUCAAAACUCACUCCUGCAGUGACACACUUCCUCCAACAAGGCCAUACCUACUCCAACAAAGCCAAACCUCCUAAAAGCGCCACUCCCUAGAGCUUAUGUGGGACAAUUACAUUCAAACCACUAAACAUGGCAUACCAACUUACACUAAGGUUAAGCACAUCCCCUCAUAUUAAGGCUUGAUGAGGCAACCCAGUAGGAGAAAAAGGGAACAAAGGCAGGCAAAAGAGUCAGAAACCAGGAACCAGACACUUGAUAGUUCAAAGACCUAGGAUAGAACUGACCAAAAAGACCAAAAAAAAAAAAAAAGUCAAUGAAAUGAUUCCUAAUGCCAUUCUAUUAUACUCAUAAUCCACAGCCUAGCAUAACCAUCAUCAGAAAGGCUUCAUCCAGCAACUGAUGGGAGCAGAUACAGAGUCCCAAAUCCAAACAUUAGGAAAAUCCAGCAGGGUGUCACCGCCUGGAGUCCAGGUAGAAAAACCGGAAGAUUGCUCUCUUUUUGCUGUGCCCGCCGGACCUAUCGGAUUUUGUAACUCCCAUUCUUAUAGUGUAAGAUUUUCCCCUCUUUAACCAUUAAAGUAUUCAUGUUACAAUUGAGCUAGCCUGGUUAAUUUGUUACACUUGGCACCCGAACUUGGGGCCACUGCAGCUCCGUACCCCCACGCCAUUUGCGCAUACUGCCACUUGCCUUACCUUGGCUCCACACGCCUCAUGACAUUUGCACGCAUAGACUACCCCCUCAGCCUCCUUUCUCCUAGCAUUCUGUUUUGUCUACUCUGCCUAUCUAAGCUGCUGCCCAAUCAAAAGGCCAAGGCAGUGUCUUUAUUGAACCAAUAAAAGCACCACAUAAAAAGAAGACCCUCCUACACCACAGGGGUAAUUUUAAUAGGUCUGUUCUAUAUGUUACUUGUUCUUUUCCCUUUGCAGCUUUUAAUAUCCUUUCUUCUAUACAUUUAGUGUUUAGAUUAUUAUGUGGCAAGGAAACUUUCUUUUCUUGUACACUAUAUUUAGUGCUCUUUGUACUACAUGGCAGAAAGAUCUUUCUUUAGGUUAGGAAAAAUUUAUUCUAUGACUUUGUUGAAAAUAUUUUCAUGGUAUAUUUGUGAGAAUUCUUCUCCUUCCUCUAUUACUAUUAUUUCUAGAUUUGAUAUUUUCAUAGUGCCCCAGAUGUCUUGGAUGUUUUGUGCCAGGAGUUGUUUAUAUUUAACAUUUUCUUUGACAGAUGUAUCUAUUUCUUUAUCUUAUCUUCAAUUCUCUAUUCCUUCUUGCAUUCUGUUGGUGAAUUUGGUCUUUGUAGUUCCUAUUCAAAUUCCAUAUUUUUUCAUUUCCAUAGUUCCCUGCUUUGGCUUUCUUCAUUAAUGCUAUUUCUAUCCUCAGUUUCUGAGUAGAUAUACUCAUUUCCUUGAACUGUUCAUUUGUGUUUUCCUGGAUUUCUUUUAGCAAUUUAUUCAUCUCUUCUUUUAGGACCUCUGUUUUGUUCAUACAGGGUGUUUUAAGGCAUUUUUCUUGAGCUUCAACUAAGGUAAAAUAUUCAAUGCCUGCUAUGGUACAGUUUCUGGGCUCCAGUGGAGAUAUAUUAUCCUAGGUAUUAUUGAUUCUCUUUUUAAACUGAUGUUUGGGAUUCUGGGAUUGGGAUGGUUACAGGACUGGGUGAUGAUAUUUGAUUUUGCCUCUAUUAGACAAGUGUUUGUUUCCUUGUUUCUGCUUCCUCUUAAGAUCUUAAGAGAGUGUGGUGGCCUUGUGCUGACUGAUAGGAAAUAUUCGGUGGCUCUCUUUCCCUAACUUGUUGAGCUGGUAUGCUGGCUACUCUUAUGUCAACUUGAUAGAAGUUGGGGUUAUCUGAAACUAGGAAACCUCAAUAGAAAAAAUGUCUCCAUAAGAUCAAGUUCUAAGUCUAUUGUGGGUAAUGCCAUUCCUGGGUUGGUAGUUGCAAGUUCAUAAGAAACCAGACUGAGCAGGUCAUGUGGAGCAAGACAGUAAGCAGCACCCCUCCAUGGCCAGAACAUUGGCUCCUGUCUCCUGGAUCCUUCUCUUUUUGAGUUCCUGUCCAGAUUUCCUUCAAAGAUUAACAGUACUGUGGAAAGAUAAGCUGAAUAAAUCUUUUCCUUCCCAAGUUGCUUUGGUCACAGUGUUUCAUCAUAGCAGUAGUAACCCUAACUAAGACAGAUGGUGUGUUCUUAGGGUGCACUUCUUAGGGUAUUGGAGUCUUGGAUAAUGGGAUGAGAUGAAGGGAAUAGGGUUGGGGGAGAAGAUCUUUGUGAUCAAUUUCAAAUGGGGUAGAGAGGAAAGAGAGACCAAAGCAGGAUAAAGUUAGGGGGAAUGGAUCUGGAGAAACAGAAAGUGAUGAGGAGAUCCACUGUCAGAUUACUACUUUCCCUUAGUAGUUUGUGUGAUUAAAAAAUACUUCUACUUUCAUCAGAGUUUACAGGAAAAGAGAGACUUCUCUGAUUAAUUUUCACAGAGCUGAUUUACAUAUUUAGAAAUUUUUUCAAUGUUAUGUGAGUUUAUAUAAAUAACAAAAUUAAUACUCUCCUCUACAUCUAAUGACACCCCAACCAGUCAGGGCUUUUGAAUGGGUUUACAAAUAAAGUGUGGGAUCAAUGUAGUUAACUGCGCCUCAAACCCUAUUAGGGUUGGGUUCCACAAUGCAGAUCUGUAUAAGACUAUCUGUGGUAUAAAUACAUUGAAUUUGAGUUAUUUCACAUUGAAUGUCUGAUGUUUUCGGUUUAAGAUGAAAAUGGCAAGUCUCACUGUAAUUUCAUUAAAUAAAUUUUUCCACUUAAGCUGUUCAGUGCUCUCUUCUCAGGUCUGUUCAAAUAGUCAUUUCUUUUGUCAGAUGGUUUACUGUUUGGAGAAAAGCACAAUAAAAACUUCACAACUGGAUGAUGAUCAUGAAUUUGCAUUAGGAGAUUCCACAAUUAAUCACUUGUGCCAUGUUGAAUCUGUGGUGGGAUAAAAUUUAUCAAUAAUAACUAAAAGAUUCUGAGAUAGGUAAAAAAAAUGAGCUUCCUAAUACUUGUGUAGAACAGUUGAAAAAUUAGCAAAUAUAUUGAUCACCUUUGUUAGUAGCCUUAAUCAACAGUGUGUUCGACCAACAACCUGCAUUUUGAAAGGAAUAAGAUGUCAAAUGGGUUUGCUGUAACUGCUGACCACUCUGACCACCUCAGUUGAUCAUGCACUUUAAGGAAUAUUAGGUUUGUUUUGAAGAGUUGCCAAUAAAGUGGAGAAAGACAGAUUAUCCUAUGCUUAUAUCUGAAUGAAGAUGACCUAAAAGCUAGACUGUGAGAAUAAUGAAAUUCCUAUUUGAAACUAGGCAUCUUUUUGGUACCCUUUUAAAAAAUCUCAGUGAGCAAACUUAAAUUAUUAAUGCUCUAUGAAAAGUAUAAUUCUCAAAUUUAUUGAAAAAACUUAAUAUAGAAAGAAUAUACAUGUAUAAGCAUGAACCAAAUAUAUAGAAAAAUCUGAAAUUUUUCACUUAUAAAAUGAAACUAAAAUGAACAAGGAAGCCAUAGAAAAUUUGUGUACUUUAGUCAGUGGUAUUGUUGGAAUUCUUUUAACAUAUUGAAUAGAAUCAUACUUCUUGCUAGAAUUCAUACUAUUCUGAUUUUAAAAGUACAAAUUAUUUAUAUAUAAGGCCAUGAAUGGAAAAAUUUAAGGAAUAUUACAUAUAAAUUUAUUAAUAUGAUCAACAAUAUAGUACUUUAUUGUGAAGGUGCAAAAAUAGCUCAAUAUGAUGUAAUAAUUUAGAUUUCAUUUCUGAUUAAAAUUAGAAAUAAGCAGUUAUUAUAUUGGAUAUUACUAAGUAUUCCUGGUCCACCUCUCUGGUAAGCUACCAGGUAUAACUUGAUUUCAUGAGGAAAGACAUUUUCUUAUACCACAGCAGUCUGGAUACUAUUUGCCUCCUUCUCCCAGACACUCUCCAGACAUAGUUAUUGUAAUUAAUAGAAAGGAAUUCACUGAUCAAGUGGUUUGUCUAUGAUGUGGGUUGUUUUGUUUGUUUGUUUUCAGAGUGAAAAAAAUUGCACUCUGUCUUUCUGUAAGGUGAAAGAUAUAGGAUAGUUUUUCAGUAAGUUGUCCCAAGUGAGUCAACAGACACAUACUACAAAGAAGAAGAAAUAUAUAAUCCUAAUUAUAAUUAGAUGAAGAGUCUAUGAAUAUUAAAAAACAGAUCCAAUGAGAGUCAAAACAAGCAACAUAAAUUAAAGAGUUAGAAGUAAAAGGAUUAACUAAUCUGAUAUAUGAUGAAGUUAUUGACAGUUGCAAAAUCAUGAAUCAUUAUAUAUAUAAUGGCUUCAAGUGAGAAAAAUUAAUAUCAGAGAGGCACAAAAGUAUCAGGAGGAGAGAGAGGAAGUGGAGGGUAAAAGAGCGAGCCUAAGAAACAUGAACCAUGAAUCCAGAGCAAAAGAAACCCACCACAACACGGAAACCAGAGCUAAUUCACUGGACCUGAAACCAGGGCCAACAGGUUAAAAAGGGCCAGUGAAAGAAAAGCACCUGGGCCCUAAAACGAGAGCCAAUGAAACACACCCUGCCCUUGAACAACUGACCUAAAAUCCAUCCAAUCACAGAGCUUGGAAUCCAACCCAUCUUUGAGAUACUUCAAGCUCAUGAACUGAAAUCUAACCAAUUUUAACUCUGAAAAUCUAAACUAUGGAAAUCUCUACUGCUAAAGAAAAAUAUAUAAACCUUGUACCUGCUCAAUUUGAAGCUGCCUUUUUACACCCUGGCAGAGACAGCCACUCUCCAAGAUUCCUCCCUACCAAUACAUCUCUUGAACGAAGUUUAGGUGACAGCAUUCUUUGCCAAAGUGGAGCUGACAGAGAGAUAACUUUCACUAGAGCAGGAGCAAAUCUGGUGCAUUUUGGAUGCAAAAAUCCCUUAGGAAGAGCAGAGCAGAGCUGUAAUGGCUCUCCCAGGAAAACCAGAACUGCUAUAUUGCUAUGGGGAAAACAUUCCCCGCCCAAACAGACCUGUAGUUAUAGCCUGGCUUCUCAUGGGCUUACUUUUCCCUCCAGAGCUGCAACACUUAUCAGAAACCUGACUGACAUGUCAAGCAUAUAAAGAUGAGCUCAUUAAAUGUCAUUUUGUAUAGCUUUCAGUACAAAUUAUAGUAUCGGUCAGUUUUCCUUUUUCUUAAUCAUAAUGAGAUUAAAUUUUCUCC